UACGGAGGGUGCAAGCGUUAUCCGGAUUUACUGGGUUUAAAGGGUGUGUAGGCGGACUAUUAAGUCAGUGGUGAAAUCCCGAGGCUCAACCUCGGAACUGCCUUUGAUACUAUUAGUCUUGAAUGUUGUUGAGGUGGGCGGAACGGGUCAUGUAGCGGUGAAAUGCAUAGAUAUGACCCGGAACACCGAUUGCGAAGGCAGCCCGCUAAGCAACUAUUGACGCUGAGGCACGAAAGCGUGGGGAUCAAACCAGGAGUUAGAAAACCCCA
rnacentral:rRNA from 1 species